UCUUCAUUCUUCACACUAUCUCUCCGGUCAGAGAGGCGAGAAAGUGAGAGAGAUGAAGAGA
rnacentral:pre_miRNA from 1 species